rnacentral:rRNA from 1 species
CCUACGGGAGGCAGCAGUGAGGAAUAUUGGUCAAUGGGCGCUAGCCUGAACCAGCCAAGUAGCGUGAAGGAUGACUGCCCUAUGGGUUGUAAACUUCUUUUAUAUGGGAAUAAAGUGCAGUAUGUAUACUGCUUUGCAUGUACCUUAUGAAUAAGGAUCGGCUAACUCCGUGCCAGCAGCCGCGGUAAUACGGAGGAUCCGAGCGUUAUCCGGAUUUAUUGGGGUUAAAGGGAGCGUAGGCGGGUUGUUAAGUUAGUUGUGAAAGUUUGCGGCUCAACCGUGAAAUUGCAGUUGAUACUGGCAGCCUUGAGUGCAGUAGAGGUAGGCGGAAUUCGUGGUGUAGCGGUGAAAUGCUUAGAUAUCACGAAGAACUCCGAUUGCGAAGGCAGCCUGCUGGACUGUAACUGACGCUGAUGCUCGAAAGUGUGGGUAUCAAACAGGAUUAGAUACCCCAGUAGUC